rnacentral:rRNA from 1 species
ACGGGAGGCAGCAGUGAGGAAUAUUGGACAAUGGAGGCAACUCUGAUCCAGCCAAACCGCGUGAAGGAAGACGGUCCUAUGGAUUGUAAACUUCUUUUGUAAGGGGAUAAACCUAGAUAUGUAUAUCUAGCUGAAGGUACCUUACGAAUAAGCAUCGGCUAACUCCGUGCCAGCAGCCGCGGUAAUACGGAGGAUGCAGGCGUUAUCCGGAUUUAUUAGGUUUAAAGGGUGCGCAGGCGGGACACUAAGUCGGCGGUGAAAUCUCAUGGCCCAACCAUGAAACUGCCAUCGAUACUGGUGACCUUGAGUACGAAUGAGGAAGGCGGAAUGAGUCGUGUAGCGGUGAAAUGCUUAGAUAUGACUCAGAACACCAAUUGCGAAGGCAGCUUUCCAAAACGCAACUGACGCUCAUGCACGAAAGCGUGGGUAGCGAACAGGAUUAGAUACCCUGGUA